rnacentral:rRNA from 1 species
AAGGGUGAGUAACACGUGGGUUAUCUACCUCAGAGACUGGAAUAACAAUUGGAAACGAUUGCUAAUGCCGGAUGAUAUAAUAAAACGAUACGUUGUUUUAUAUUAAAAGGAGUCCUUUAAAGCUUCACUUUGAGAUGAGCCUGCGGCGUAUUAGCUAGUUGGUAAGGUAAUGGCUUACCAAGGCGACGAUGCGUAGCCGGCCUGAGAGGGUGAUCGGCCACAUUGGGACUGAGACACGGCCCAAACUCCUACGGGAGACAGCAGUUAGGAAUAUUCGUCAAUGGGGGAAACCCUGAACGAGCAAUGCCGCGUGAGUGAUGACGGUCCUUUGGAUUGUAAAACUCUGUUGUUAGGGAAGAACGACCUAUGUAGGAAAUGAUAUAGGAGUGACUGUACCUUUCAAGAAAGCUCCGGCUAACUACGUG